UCGCGAAUAUUCCGCAAUGGGCGAAAGCCUGACGGAGCGACGCCGCGUGUGGGAUGAAGGCCUUCGGGUUGUAAACCACUGUCACGCGUUAUGAACACCGGGGAGACAAUAUCAAUCCGGAUGACAAAGGCGCGAGAGGAAGCCACGGCUAACUCUGUGCCAGCAGCCGCGGUAAGACAGAGGUGGCAAGCGUUGCUCGGAGUUACUGGGCAUAAAGGGCGCGUAGGCGGUCGUGCACGUCGAGGGUGAAAUCCCCGGGCUUAACCCGGGAACUGCCUUUGAUACGGCGCGACUCGAGUGCGGGAGGGGAGAGUGGAACUCCUGGUGGAGCGGUGAAAUGCGUAGAUAUCAGGAGGAACGCCGGUGGCGAAAGCGACUCUCUGGUCCGCAACUGACGCUGAGGCGCGAAAGCUAGGGGAGCAAACGGGAUUAGAUACCCCAGUAGUCCCUGAGCGGGCUGGCAAGGCGCAU
rnacentral:rRNA from 1 species